AUCUAAUGUCAAUAGAGUGAUUGUACCUUUUUAAUUUAAUCGAACCACUGUAACCAGUCGAGAACGAUCAACACCAGAAAGGCACCUGUAUCUCUACAAUGAUGGAAGACUGCUAGACUUAAUAUUUAGUAAGAAAAUUUAGGUUUAGAUCUUUUCUAAGUCAGUAAAUCUGAUAUCUGGCUGAUCAAAUUUAGAUCAGCAUAAUCAUAUGUCUGACC
rnacentral:lncRNA from 1 species